rnacentral:rRNA from 1 species
AGCGAACGCUGGCGGCAGGCUUAACACAUGCAAGUCGAGCGCCCCGCAAGGGGAGUGGCAGCCGGGUGAGUAACACGUGGGAACGUACCCUUUGGUUCGGAAUAACUUGGGGAAACUCAAGCUAAUAACUGCUAAGCCAUUAUGGGGAAAGGUUUACUGCCGAAUGCUCGGCCCGAGUCUGAUUAGCUAGUUGGUAAGGUAAUGGCUCACCAAGGCGACGAUCAGGAGCUGGUCUGAGAGGAUGAUUAGCCACACUGGGACUGAGACACGGGCCAGACUCCUACGGGAGGCAGCAGUGGGGAAUAUUGGACAAUGGGGGCAACCCUGAUCCAGCCAUGCCGCGUGAGUGAUGAAGGCCUUAGGUUUGUAAAGCUCUUUUACCCGGGACGAUAAUGACUGUACCGGGAGAAUAAGCCCCGGCUAACUUCGUGCCAGCCGCCGCGGUAA